AAACUCCUUUCUUCUUCUACUCUCCCCUCACGCUCACACCAGAGAAAAAAACUACUGCCGCUUCUUGAAGGAAAUAAGAGAGACCCAAAGCGUAUAUUUUCGUAAGAGAGAAAAGGAUUCGACUUUGGGCUACUAGCAGGAGACUAAGGAAGCGCCUUCUUUAGAAAAUUUUAAGAAACCGUUUUGUGGAAUGAAGCCAGAAGACGAUGGAGGGAGUAGGUUAUGCGAAUUGUUGGAGUUGGAGCUGUUGGGUCUUGAGAUUGGUUCAAGGGAGUAGAGAAAGUGCUCGAAGAAAGUCCCAAGCAAGCUUUGGCCUUGAACACAAGGGACUACAAAAGGAUUUCAGGACUAAUGGCCAAACGUAACAAAUCCAUGUCAGGCAAAACGAAGCAAACCAAGAUUAAGGUAUCUCCAAACGGUUGCACAGGACUCGUCUGGCAUCUGUUGGAUAAACUGCUGAAGAUUUUGGUGAUGUCUCCACCCUUGAGCCUACACUUGUGGGUUAGUCAUGUCUUGGGCUCCGACCAAAUGGGUUUGCUCUGAUUCGGGCCCCUAUUUGGGUCAUAAAUGUAAUCUUCGGCUCGAAUAAAGCUCGGACAAAAUGAGCGUCUACAAUAUAUAAAUGUUAAAAUAGAUAUUUAAG